GAUGAACGCUGGCGGCGUGCCUAAUACAUGCAAGUCGAGCGAACAGAUGAGGAGCUUGCUCCUCUGACGUUAGCGGCGGACGGGUGAGUAACACGUGGAUAACCUACCUAUAAGACUGGGAUAACUUCGGGAAACCGGAGCUAAUACCGGAUAAUAUAUUGAACCGCAUGGUUCAAUAGUGAAAGACGGUCUUGCUGUCACUUAUAGAUGGAUCCGCGCUGCAUUAGCUAGUUGGUAAGGUAACGGCUUACCAAGGCAACGAUGCGUAGCCGACCUGAGAGGGUGAUCGGCCACACUGGAACUGAGACACGGUCCAGACUCCUACGGGAGGCAGCAGUAGGGAAUCUUCCGCAAUGGGCGAAAGCCUGACGGAGCAACGCCGCGUGAGUGAUGAAGGUCUUCGGAUCGUAAAACUCUGUUAUUAGGGAAGAACAAAUGUGUAAGUAACUAUGCACGUCUUGACGGUACCUAAUCAGAAAGCCACGGCUAACUACGUG
rnacentral:rRNA from 1 species